CCAUUUUCGUUGCGUCGACGUCAAGUGCGGCCAGAGGCCCUCUCACAUACUCGCUGGCGUCCGGGGGUAUUAGAUUUCAGUCUUCGACUUUGAGUUUUCCUUUGUGUCAUAAUAUAUCGGUACAGCCAAGUGCGGAAGGCUGUGUGAGCGUGAUAACGCGAUAAUACGUCUCGUAUUUGUUACAAACAUUAUAUAUAUAUAUAUAUAUAUAAAAUAUAUAUAUAUACACAAAAAUAAAAACUCGAAGUUUGCAUUUGGAUAUAAGAUUUAUAUUAUUUCGAUCAUCGAGACGUUGAACGAGAGUCUAUCUGCAGCAGAGCUACGAAAAUCUACGCACCGAGGCGGAGUAAUAUGAGUAAUGCAGCCAACCAGAAUGGAUCAGGUCUAGAGCAGCAGUUAGCUGGUCUGGACUUGCAGGGGUCCCGCCAACCUAGCGGGGGCCGAUACGUUCCACCGCAUCUUCGCAACAAAGUCGCAACCGAUAGCGGUAACGGACCGACGAGUGGUGACGAUCAUUCGGGUCAGAAUUCAAGAACAUAUUCAGACAGAGAUAGGGGUGGUGGACGCGACCAGGACAGAGAUCGUGAUUACGGAUAUCAAGGUUCCUCGUACAGAGAUAUUCGUAACAAUCGUGACGCUGAUUUCGGUAAUUUCGGAGGUAGAAAUCGUCGCCCUCAAGAGAAUGGUCGAGACUAUCGUUAUGGAAAUGGAGAACGAGAUCGACCAAUGGGAGGUGGCGGAGGUUCAUGGCCAGAGCCGAGAAAUGAUCGUUGGCAAGAAAAUCGAAAUGAUCAGAGAAUGGGAGGCGGCGGCGGCGGUGGCGGAAGUCGAUGGAAGGAUGAGCGGGAUGGUGGUGGACGAGGAGGAGGAGGACGAAACGAGGUCGAUUGGACAAUUCCCACUUCAAAGGACGAGCGACUCGAGAUCGAACUCUUCGGCACUGGCAACACGGGUAUUAAUUUUAGCAAAUAUGAGGAUAUCCCCGUUGAGGCUACCGGUGACAACAUACCCGGUCACAUCUCAUCCUUUGACGAGGUUAAGCUGACGGAAAUCAUAAAGAACAGCAUAACUCUCGCGGGCUACGACAAACCUACACCCGUACAAAAGUACGCGAUACCGAUAAUAAUCGCUCGCAGAGACGUCAUGGCCUGCGCUCAAACAGGCUCUGGAAAAACGGCGGCUUUCCUAGUGCCAAUAUUGAAUCAGAUAUACGAGUCCGGUCCACGCCCACCACCACCGCAGGCUGGCUCAGGUCGACGAAAGCAAUAUCCUCUCGGUCUCGUACUCGCUCCUACGAGAGAACUCGCCACUCAGAUUUACGACGAAGCGAGAAAAUUCGCUUAUCGCUCAAGAAUGCGACCAGCCGUUGUUUACGGUGGUGCCAGUAUGGUCGAUCAGAUGCGCGAACUCGAUCGCGGGUGUCAUUUGCUCGUUGCCACACCUGGACGAUUGGUCGAUAUGCUGGGACGUGGAAAAAUUGGCUUACACAAUUGCCGAUAUUUAGUUCUGGACGAAGCCGAUCGUAUGUUGGACAUGGGUUUCGAACCACAAAUACGACGCAUCGUAGAAGAGGACACGAUGCCACCGACCGGAGAAAGACAAACCCUUAUGUUCUCUGCAACUUUCCCUAAAGAAAUACAAAUGUUGGCGCGUGACUUUUUAAGCAAUUAUAUUUUCCUAGCAGUCGGCCGAGUCGGCUCAACUUCCGAAAAUAUCACGCAAAAAAUUGUUUGGGUCGAGGAACACGACAAACGCUCGUAUCUUUUAGAUCUUUUACAGGCGAGCAACGUCAUCGAACCGAGUGCGGAAUCGCUCACUCUUGUUUUCGUGGAGACGAAAAAAGGUGCUGACAUGCUGGAAGAGUUUUUAGCGUCCAUGAAUUAUCCGGUGACGAGUAUUCACGGUGACCGAUCUCAACGCGAACGUGAAGACGCAUUGCGACGUUUCCGAGCGGGAAAAGCUCCAAUACUCGUUGCUACAGCGGUUGCGGCUCGUGGGCUCGAUAUUCCGCACGUUAAACACGUUAUUAACUUUGAUUUACCCGGUGAUGUUGAGGAAUAUGUCCAUCGCAUUGGCCGUACCGGACGUAUGGGAAAUUUGGGUCUCGCAACGUCAUUUUUCAACAGCAAGAAUCACAAUUUGACUCGGGAUCUCGUUUCGCUUUUGGCGGAGGCGAACCAAGAAUUGCCUUCUUGGCUAGAGAACAUGUUCUCAGAAGCCCGGCACUCAGGAGGCGGAGGUGGUGCUCGACGACCCACUGGUGGUAGCGGCAGCAAUGCCAAGGGACGCUUCAGCGGCGGCUUUGGCGCCAGGGACUACCGUCAGACUCCUAGUUCCGGAAUGGGAGGUGGACGAAGUAACGGACCAGGGGGAAGGCCCGGCGGAUAUGGAGGUGGUUACGGCGGAGGUUACGGCGGUAACUACAAUUCUUCGUACAACUCGAGCAACAACGGAAGCAGCGGCAACGGUCAAGAUUGGUGGGGGGGAAAAUAGAAUGAUUCAAAACGAUGAAAGAGAGAAGGAAAGAAAAAAUGGAGAAAAGGAGAACUCCGUUCACCGACGUAUUUGCGACCAUUAUUAUUAUUAAUCUACACAAAAAUUCGAUUAUAUAAAACUGAACAAGGCCAGUAGUUUCGGAAAUGAAAUACGAAAUUUGCAUUCCAUCCUUCCGGAGCUUGAUCCUCAGGGAAGAAUUGGAAAAAUCACUCGCUCUCUCGUGGAACGGAGAAAUAGAAGAAAAUAAAUGAAUAAACAAAAUUUCAAAAAAUUAAUUCACACUUCAAGCUAAUUUAAUGCCUCCCAAAAUAGUGCAAAAUGCGUAAUGAGAAUAAGGAAUUAAGACUUGAGAGGCGGAGUAAAACUGAGCUUGCAGUUAUAAAUGACAAUUAAAGUGGAAACAAAAACCCGCCAAAAUACAGGAGCUCGGUUUGGAAAACUUUGAACAGGAAAAAUGUGUAUGACGUAAUAAAUAGGCGGAAAAUCUGGUGAAAAAACGAGAUGAAGAUUUGAAAAAAUAAAAAAUGCCCGAGCAUACACAAGUCGACGCGACACCGAGAGACGCACCCGUACAAUAUUUUAUAACUGUAUUUAUCAGUACGAUUAAUGCUCUAUAUUAUAAAAAUAAACAAUAUUAAGUGAUAUUCGUAAAAUACAUUAUUAUAAACAUAUAUAAAAGUAAUUGAAAAAGUAAAUGAAACAAAACAAGAAAAAAAAUGAAACGACUGUGAUAUCGAACGAUCUUGUGACAUUCAAUUUCCAACGCGAAUUGAAACGAUAAAUGAACGAUUAAACAAAAAAUAUACAAAUAUUUAAAUUAAUUAAUUAAUUUAUCGGGUAUUGAAUGUCGGUGAAAGGAAAAAUAAAGAGGCUCUGUAAUUACGAGCUCAGCGGGAGGAAUAUUAAGUCGUUACGAUAAUACAACACCAACAACACGGGCAAACUUUGGGUGACGUCAAUGAAAACAAACACGAAUCGGAGGUUAUUUUCAGUUUCGUUAGUUCCCGAAAAUCGAGCGCGUCUCAACUAAUCGAAACAUUAAGAUACUUUCAUCAAUUCAUUGGAUAUCGUAAAUACACAAUUUUAAAAACAAAUUAACGUUUUCGAGUUCAAGAGCUGUGACUCUAUGUUAUCCAUUUUUAUCACGCUAGGCAGUUUUAUACUUCGGAAAAGGUCGAAACCGAAAAUGAUCUAUUUACGUUCCGCGUCACCCGGUCAGAGAAAAAAUGAGAGAGAGAGUAGCUGUAAAACAGGUAAUUCGGGGCAUUGUUCAUACACUCGAGAUGAAUGAAAACGGGAUCGAAAAAAAAUGAGACAUAAAAAUGAAAUAAUAAACGAUGGAGUAAAUGGAAAUGAUCACGGGCGAAAAGGCGGCAUCGUUAUUUCGUCAUUCGUCGAUGAAGGCUCGUAGGUUUUUGUAGCAUUUUCGGGGGAUCGUUCAACGGACGGGCAACCUAACGAAAUAAAAUAAUAACCCUGAAUUGUCGUCGUCCCCCUGUGAUUCAUCUACGCUGGCGAUAAGAAUAAAAAAGUACAAAUUCGUUUCGCGUGACAACCGACAAGAUUUUCUAGACACGUCAUACUUAUUAUAUAAAUACCUGUUAUAUUCGUAGAUUAAUAGUGCAAUCGCGUGAUUGAAGGCGUCGUAUGACCGUGGACCAAGGUAUGAAUGCCUCUUCGCGAGGAACGAUCAUUUAUUUUCAAUUACUACACACAUUUAUUUGUAUUCACUUUUUGUUCUCCAUUAUUUACCAUCUAAUAUAUGCGUCCCGAUCAUUUUGGGCCAUUUUUAAUGAGAGAGGGAGUGAAAAAAUACAUAUUUCACGAGUUUCCACUCGAAAUUGUUCCGCAGUCACGAAAUAUCCCGUUUAGAUACAAGGAUUUCCAAAAAUCACGCCUGUACCGCCACGGCUGAUUGGAUUGUUUAACGAUAUUCCAAAGCGCAAACUCUGCAUUCGUUUUUUCCAGUAGCUCGUUCGCGAGAUGAUAAAUAAUAAACAGUGAUAAACUCCACUACGAAGAUAGCAUUUCACGAACGGUGCUUCACAAAAAAAGUACACAGACUUUGCUCUUUAGAAUUUCGUGAUUCGCGUAACCUGAAAGUGAGGGUGUAAUUUUUUAGAAAUUCUGUAGAAUCAGUGAUGAAUUCUAGAAAACUAGCGCCUGCCACAACGAAGAUCGUCUCAUUUUCAGAACCAUUAUGAUUACGAUUAUUAUUAUUAUUAUUAUUAUUAUUAGAUUAUUAUUACUAUUAUUUUUAAAUUACGCAUAUAAUCGAAGCUCGAUAAUAAGGAGCAGCAAUGGUUGACCGUCGGCAAAUAAUCUUAUUUAUAACUAAAGUUCUAAGUAUUUAUUUUGAUUUUUUUCCUGUCGUUUGUACCUUGCGAGCGCGGUUGGGUAAAAGAUUCAAUUUGUUUUUUUUUUCAUCGGUCCUCUGCUGAAAAUAAUCGGCGAGCAACAGCAUUUUGGGUGGAAAAUAAAAUAUUUAUAAUAAUUCAUCGUGCGACAGAAACAAAAAAAUUCAAAACAACAGAAAAACAAACAUGAAGGAAGGCAAAACUAGGCCAUACUAAAUGUCCGAAUUAAUAGAGUUGAACGGUAUGAAGAGAAAAGAGCGAGAGAGCGAUGAGAUAUUAACAUGAAAUUAUGAUAUAUAUACGGUCGCUGUUGAUGGUGUAUAUACGACAUAGCUAAAUAUGAAUGACGUGAAAAGUUUAGUGCAAACCGAUAAAAAAAGAACAAAGUCAUGUUAGACCGACUACGAUCAUGCGAGCAGGACAGUAAGAAGGCAAUAAUUGGAUAAAAGAAAAAGGAAAGAAUAGAAGAAUAAAGGGAAAAUUCCCUCCGCAUAAAUUUUUUUCAUUUUCGUACUGAAAUUAAAUUAAUUUUCCGGUAAAGGAGCUGCGAAAAAUCAUCACUCUCUAAAUUUGUACGAGUGAAAAGAGCGUCGUUUGAAAGGUAACGAAUAAAGCUUGGAGUGAAUUUACAAAAUCAAUCGUCUUUCUGCGAAUUAUUACAAUUAGUGCGAAAAUAGGAAUGUAAUGAGUGUUCGUAUGAUAAAAAUUCUUUGUGGCCAUCGGAGCAAAAGCAAAUGGUAUUUGCAAAACUUUGGCUACGUCGAUCACAUGAUCCAUGCGUCCCUCUUACGUCGCCAAACAGUCACAGGCAGUUCAAAAUUUUUCAUAAAAACUUUCAAACAAAGAACGCGACACUGGGAUUAUUUUAAAGUAAUCGAGCUCCAUCUUACGGGGACAAAAAAAAACUAAAAAUUGGAGGAAUCCGAAAGAGUUGACGAAAGGAUUCAAAAUAAAUAACGCCGCAACGGUGGACGUACCAUUCUGUCGGUAUAUCUUUAAAAUAUUAGUAUAAAUCCACACGUUUACAAUGCUACGUUAGUUAUUCGAAAAAGGAAUAAAAACCACAUUGGCAUAAUACUAAAAAUCACUUGUAACGUCGCGCGAGAGUAAUCGGAUUAAAAGUAAAUAAACAGAAAUAAAAAUAAAACAAAAUGAUUAUACAUUUUGUGUCGUUUUCAAAACUUGUGUAUGAAAACUCGACGUUACGAUUAAGCGCAGUAGGUUGCGGACCGAGAUUGUGACAAACAAGUCCAAGUCAUGGCUACAAAAGUAUAAGAACUCUUAAAGAGCCGAAUUGGAUGAUGAAAGGAAUGAAAAUAAUAAUUUUUGGCCCGGUUCGUCUAAUUACAGGCUAAUUAAUCGAACUUGUCGGAAAAAAUACGGUUUUUAAACAAUUUGUUACGUAAUAUCUCUGGGAUUUUGUUCAAGUCCAUGGAAAAUAAAAUUGGUGCUAGCGCAAUGCCGUACUUCUUUGGGGGCGUUUAUCAUUGAAACGCGUUAAUUUUUUUGGAACAUUUGAUUUGUUAGCGACUAAUUUUUUUUUAAACGACAAUUACGUACCUCUACGACCGUUUCGAAUAGCCGUCUACCCUUGCAAAUACCCAGAUUCUUUAAUUAUGCAGAUCGAUUCGUGACAGUAUGGCACUUGAAUUCUGAAAGUUUCAUAAUGAAGUAAAACUAUUUAUGCGCCUGCCAUACUUUCAACGAAGUUCAAAAAUCCUGCAAUACUUCAGAAACAGUUGUUUAUCAAACGUUUUCGAGGUACAAAUUCACCAAACGUAAAAUUAUUUAUCACAGUAUGGCAUUGUCGUAUUUUUUUAGCUGCAACGCUAGUGUACCUAAAAAAAUGUCCCAUACUUUAACCAUAGGUCCAAGAACUAUCAGACUCGAGCUACAAUGUAGAAAAAAUAAAAAUUAAACGAUUUGUUACACA
rnacentral:misc_RNA from 1 species